AACUUGAAGAGUUUGAUCCUGGCUCAGAACGAACGCUGGCGGCGUGGCUAAGACAUGCAAGUCGUACGCACUAUGCUUAACCGUAUGGUGAGUGGCGAAAGGGUGAGGAAUAGAUAGGUAACGUACCUUAUGCACCGGAAUAGCGUCGUUAGUAGCAAUACUAACUACCGAAAGGGGCGGUAAUACCGGAUAACGUUGUCGGUCGCAUGAUCGACAUCCAAUGGAUUUAUCGGCAUAAGAGCGGCCUUUCUCCUAUCAGCUAGUUGGCGAGGUAAUGGCUCACCAAGGCUAUGACGGGUACCGGGAUUGAGAGAUCGACCCGGCACAUCGGAACUGAGACACUGUCCGGACCUCCACGGAGGGCUGCAGUAACGAAUAUUGGGCA
rnacentral:ncRNA from 1 species